AUACGUACCGUGCGAACGUUAUUCGGAAUCACUGGGCUUAAAGGGUGCGUAGGCGGUCGUUUAAGUAGGGUGUGAAAUCCCCCGGCUCAACCGGGGAACUGCGCUCUAAACUGGGCGACUCGAGUAAGAUAGGGGUGUGCGGAACUUCCGGUGGAGCGGUGAAAUGUGUUGAUAUCGGAAGGAACACCAGUAGCGAAGGCGGCACACUGGGUCUUAACUGACGCUGAGGCACGAAAGCUAGGGUAGCGAACGGGAUUAGAAACCCGGGUAGUCC
rnacentral:rRNA from 1 species